rnacentral:rRNA from 1 species
CAACUUUCAACAACGGAUCUCUUGGCUCUCGCAUCGAUGAAGAACGCAGCGAAAUGCGAUAAGUAAUGUGAAUUGCAGAAUUCAGUGAAUCAUCGAAUCUUUGAACGCACAUUGCGCCCCCUGGUAUUCCGGGGGGCAUGCCUGUUCGAGCGUCAUU